rnacentral:rRNA from 1 species
CCCAGACUCCUACGGGAGGCAGCAGUGGGGAAUAUUGGGCAAAGGGCGCAAGCCUGACCCAGCAACGCCGCGUGAAGGAAGAAGGCUUUCGGGUUGUAAACUUCUUUUGACAGGGAAGAGUAGAAGACGGUACCCGUCGAAUAAGCCACGGCUAACUACGUGCCAGCAGCCGCGGUAAUACGUAGGUGGCAAGCGUUGUCCGGAUUUACUGGGUGUAAAGGGCGUGUAGCCGGGUUGACAAGUCAGAUGUGAAAUCCUGCGGCUUAACCGCAGAACUGCAUUUGAAACUGUUGAUCUUGAGUACUGGAGAGGCAGACGGAAUUCCUAGUGUAGCGGUGAAAUGCGUAGAUAUUAGGAGGAACACCAGUGGCGAAGGCGGAUUGCUGGACAGUAACUGACGCUGAGGCGCGAAAGCGUGGGGAGCAAACAGGAUUAGAUACCCCUGUACUA